rnacentral:rRNA from 1 species
GGGGNNNNNCCUGGUACAUUCCCCUUGAGUUGAUCAUGGCUCGAACGAACGCUGGCGGCGUGGAUAAGACAUGCAAGUCGAACGCUGAUUUCAGGGUAGCAAUAUUCUGGAGUCGGAGUGGCGCAAGGGUGCGUAACACGUGGGUAAUUUGCCGUGAAGUUGGGGAUAACUCGCUGAAAGGCGAGCUAAUACCGAAUGUGAUCAUUGGGAGGCAUCUUUCGAUGAUUGAAGUUGGGGACCGCAAGGCCUGACGCUUCACGAUAAGCCCGCGGCCUAUCAGCUAGUUGGUGAGGUAACGGCUCACCAAGGCUAAGACGGGUAGCUGGUCUGAGAGGACGACCAGCCACACUGGAACUGAGACACGGUCCAGACACCUACGGGUGGCAGCAGUCGAGAAUUUUUCUCAAUGGGCGAAAGCCUGAAGGAGCGACGCCGCGUGGGGGAUGAAUGGCUUCGGCCCGUAAACCCCUGUCAUUUGCGAACAAACCUUGUCCGAUAACACCGGACGAGCUGAUUGUAGUGAAAGAGGAAGGGACGGCUAACUCUGUGCCAGCAGCCGCGGUAAUACAGAGGUCCCAAGCGUUGUUCGGAUUCACUGGGCGUAAAGGGUGCGUAGGUGGCUGGGUAAGUUCGAUGUGAAAUCUCCGAGCUCAACUCGGAAAUGGCAUUGAAUACUAUUCGGCUCGAGGGGUCGGAGGGGGAGACUGGAAUUCUCGGUGUAGCAGUGAAAUGCGUAGAUAUCGAGAGAACACCAGUGGCGAAGGCGAGUCUCUGGACGACUCUGA